rnacentral:tRNA from 1 species
GGUUCCAUAGCGUAGCGGUUAGCACAUCUGCUUUACAUGCAGAAGGGCCUGGAUUCGCACCCCAGGCGGAGCCA